GCUACAGGCUUAACACAUGCAAGUCGAGGGGCAUCAGGAAGAAAGCUUGCUUUCUUUGCUGGCGACCGGCGCACGGGUGAGUAACACGUAUCCAACCUGCCCUUUACUCGGGGAUAGCCUUUCGAAAGAAAGAUUAAUACCCGAUAGCAUAAUGAUUCCGCAUGGUUUCAUUAUUAAAGGAUUCCGGUAGAGGAUGGGGAUGCGUUCCAUUAGGUUGUUGGUGAGGUAACGGCUCACCAAGCCUUCGAUGGAUAGGGGUUCUGAGAGGAAGGUCCCCCACAUUGGAACUGAGACACGGUCCAAACUCCUACGGGAGGCAGCAGUGAGGAAUAUUGGUCAAUGGGCGCUAGCCUGAACCAGCCAAGUAGCGUGAAGGAUGAAGGCUCUAUGGGUCGUAAACUUCUUUUAUAUAAGAAUAAAGUGCAGUAUGUAUACUGUUUUGUAUGUAUUAUAUGAAUAAGGAUCGGCUAACUCCGUGCCAGCAGCCGCGGUAAUACGGAGGAUCCGAGCGUUAUCCGGAUUUAUUGGGUUUAAAGGGAGCGUAGGUGGACUGGUAAGUCAGUUGUGAAAGUUUGCGGCUCAACCGUAAAAUUGCAGUUGAUACUGUCAGUCUUGAGUACAGUAGAGGUGGGCGGAAUUCGUGGUGUAGCGGUGAAAUGCUUAGAUAUCACGAAGAACUCCGAUUGCGAAGGCAGCUCACUGGACUGCAACUGACACUGAUGCUCGAAAGUGUGGGUAUCAAACAGGAUUAGAUACCCUGGUAGUCCACACAGUAAACGAUGAAUACUCGCUGUUUGCGAUAUACAGUAAGCGGCCAAGCGAAAGCAUUAAGUAUUCCACCUGGGGAGUACGCCGGCAACGGUGAAACUCAAAGGAAUUGACGGGGGCCCGCACAAGCGGAGGAACAUGUGGUUUAAUUCGAUGAUACGCGAGGAACCUUACCCGGGCUUAAAUUGCAGUGGAAUGAUGUGGAAACAUGUCAGUGAGCAAUCACCGCUGUGAAGGUGCUGCAUGGUUGUCGUCAGCUCGUGCCGUGAGGUGUCGGCUUAAGUGCCAUAACGAGCGCAACCCUUAUCUUUAGUUACUAACAGGUUAUGCUGAGGACUCUAGAGAGACUGCCGUCGUAAGAUGUGAGGAAGGUGGGGAUGACGUCAAAUCAGCACGGCCCUUACGUCCGGGGCUACACACGUGUUACAAUGGGGGGUACAGAAGGCAGCUAGCGGGUGACCGUAUGCUAAUCCCAAAAUCCUCUCUCAGUUCGGAUCGAAGUCUGCAACCCGACUUCGUGAAGCUGGAUUCGCUAGUAAUCGCGCAUCAGCCACGGCGCGGUGAAUACGUUCCCGGGCCUUGUACACACCGCCCGUCAAGCCAUGGGAGCCGGGGGUACCUGAAGUACGUAACCGCAAGGAUCGUCCUAGGGUAAAACUGGUGACUGGGGCUAAGUCAUAACAA
rnacentral:rRNA from 1 species